rnacentral:sRNA from 2 species
UCCAAGGUUGUCUCUCUAGCUAGCUGCCAGUUUUGUCUACAUUUUAUCUACGUAGUAUGGAUGGAUGAUCUGCCGUUAUCAUGCAUGCUAGGCCACUCUCUGGUUACACGACACAAGAGAGUAAACAUUAUGGGACCUGGUCAAUCGUUCCCGAGGUGGUUCUGGUGUUGACAUCAUGUUUAUUAAGCUUCAUUGCGAGUGUUCGCUAUCACCACCAGGAAGCGUGAUAAUAGCAGCAAGCACGGCUAAAUUGGUAUUUAGAUAACAAAGCCAUAAGCUGGACUCGAAGGGCAGGAUAAAAGAGCCGGGCAGGAGGUGAUGCUAUAUCCUGAGUGGAGAACCGGCGCGGCUACAAUACAGCUACAAUUGGGGAUUGACUUGCUGAAGCUAUAGUCUUUG